rnacentral:tRNA from 1 species
UGGGUUGUAGCCAAGUGGUAAGGCACGAGAUUUUGAUUCUCGCACGCAAUGGUUCGAAUCCAUUCUACCCAGCCA